rnacentral:rRNA from 1 species
GCGCAGCAGGCGCGAAUUUUUUCUCAAUGGGGGCAACCCUGAAGGAGCGACGCCGCGUGGAGGAUGAAGGCUUUCGGGUUGUAAACUCCUGUCAUUUGAGAACAAGUGGCCGAACCUAACUACUUCGGCCUUGAUAGUAUCAGAAGAGGAAGGGACGGCUAACUCUGUGCCAGCAGCCGCGGUAAUACAGAGGUCCCAAGCGUUGUUCGGAUUCAGUUGGCGUAAAGGGUGCGUAGGUGGCGCCGUCAGUGGGGUGUGAAAUUUCGGAGCUUAACUCCGAAACCGCAUUCCAUACUGCGGUGCUUGAGGACUGGAGAGGAGACUGGAAUUUACGGUGUAGCAGUGAAAUGCGUAGAGAUCGUAAGGAAGACCAGGUGG